UGAGGAAUUUUGGACAAUGGGGGUAACCCUGAUCCAGCGACGCCGCGUGAAGGAUGAAGGUCUUCGGAUUGUAAACUUCUUUUAUCUGGGACUAAGAAACCCGUGGAAACACGGGGAGUGAAUGUACCAGAUGAAUAAGCCACGGCUAACUUCGUGCCAGCAGCCGCGGUAAUACGAAGGUGGCAAGCGUUACUCGGAAUUACUAGGCGUAAAGGGCAGGUAGGUGGUUUGAUAAGUCUGUUGUGAAAGCUCCCGGCUUAACCGGGAGAGGUCAACAGAAACUAUCAGGCUUGAGUAUAGGAGAGGGUACUGGAAUUCCCGGUGUAGCGGUGAAAUGCGCAGAGAUCGGGAGGAACACCAAUGGCGAAAGCAGGUACCUGGACUAUUACUGACACUCAGCUGCGAAAGCUAGGGGAGCAAACAGG
rnacentral:rRNA from 1 species